AUUGAACGCUGGCGGCAGGCCUAACACAUGCAAGUCGAGCGGAUGAAGGGAGCUUGCUCCUGGAUUCAGCGGCGGACGGGUGAGUAAUGCCUAGGAAUCUGCCUGGUAGUGGGGGAUAACGUCCGGAAACGGGCGCUAAUACCGCAUACGUCCUGAGGGAGAAAGUGGGGAAUCUUCGGACCUCCCGCUAUCAGAUGAGCCUAGGUCGGAUUAGCUAGUUGGUGGGGUAAAGGCCUACCAAGGCGACGAUCCGUAACUGGUCUGAGAGGAUGAUCAGUCACACUGGAACUGAGACACGGUCCAGACUCCUACGGGAGGCAGCAGUGGGGAAUAUUGGACAAUGGGCGAAAGCCUGAUCCAGCCAUGCCGCGUGUGUGAAGAAGGUCUUCGGAUUGUAAAGCACUUUAAGUUGGGAGGAAGGGCAGUAAGUUAAUACCUCGCUGUUUUGACGUUACCAACAGAAUAAGCACCGGCUAACUUCGUG
rnacentral:rRNA from 1 species